rnacentral:rRNA from 1 species
UACGGGGGGGGCAAGCGUUGUUCGGAAUUACUGGGCGUAAAGGGUUCGUAGGUGGCUUGUUAAGUCAGACGUGAAAUCCCUCGGCUCAACCGGGGAACCGCGUCUGAGACUGAUGAGCUCGAGUGCAGGAGAGGAACGCGGAAUUCCAGGUGUAGCGGUGAAAUGCGUAGAUAUCUAGGGGAACACCAAAAGCGAAGGCAAGAGACUGGGGCAUUCCUGACACUGAAACAUGAAAGCGUGGGUAGCGAAUGGG